AUGGCUUCGGAGACCGAGACCUUCGCCUUCCAGGCCGAGAUCAACCAGCUGCUCUCGCUCAUCAUCAACACCUUCUACUCCAACAAGGAGAUCUUCCUCCGCGAGCUCAUCUCCAACGCCUCCGAUGCGUUGGAUAAGAUCAGGUUUGAGAGCCUGACUGACAAGAGCAAGCUGGAUGCUCAGCCAGAGCUGUUUAUCCAUAUUAUCCCUGACAAGGCCACGAACACACUCACUCUUAUCGACAGUGGUAUUGGUAUGACAAAGUCAGACCUCGUGAACAACCUUGGUACCAUUGCAAGGUCUGGCACCAAGGAUUUCAUGGAGGCACUGGCUGCUGGUGCUGAUGUGUCCAUGAUUGGUCAGUUUGGUGUCGGUUUCUACUCUGCUUACCUUGUUGCUGAGAGAGUCGUUGUGACCAGCAAGCACAACGACGACGAGCAGUAUGUGUGGGAGUCCCAGGCUGGUGGUUCCUUCACUGUGACACGUGAUACUACUGGAGAGCCCCUUGGAAGGGGUACUAAGAUCACCCUCUACCUCAAGGAUGAUCAGUUGGAGUACCUUGAGGAGCGUCGCCUUAAGGAUCUGGUGAAGAAGCACUCUGAGUUCAUCAGCUACCCCAUCUCUCUCUGGACGGAGAAGACCACUGAGAAGGAAAUUUCUGAUGAUGAAGAUGAGGAUGAGAAGAAGGAUACUGAGGAGGGCAAGGUUGAGGAAAUUGAUGAAGAGAAGGAAGAAAAGGAGAAGAAAAAGAAGAAGAUCAAGGAGGUUUCUCACGAGUGGAACCUGAUCAACAAGCAGAAGCCCAUCUGGAUGAGGAAGCCUGAGGAGAUCACCAAGGAGGAGUAUGCUGCCUUCUACAAGAGCCUGACAAACGACUGGGAGGAGCACCUUGCCGUCAAGCACUUCUCGGUGGAGGGUCAGCUUGAGUUCAAGGCCGUCCUCUUCGUUCCCAAGAGGGCCCCCUUUGACCUCUUUGACACCAGGAAGAAGCUCAACAACAUCAAGCUCUAUGUGCGCCGUGUCUUCAUCAUGGACAACUGUGAGGAGCUGAUCCCAGAGUGGCUGAGCUUCGUCAAGGGCAUUGUUGACUCUGAGGAUCUCCCCCUCAACAUCUCUCGUGAGACACUCCAGCAGAACAAGAUCCUCAAGGUCAUCAGGAAGAACCUUGUGAAGAAGUGCAUCGAGCUCUUCUUUGAGAUUGCUGAGAACAAGGAGGACUACAACAAGUUCUAUGAGGCUUUCUCCAAGAACCUCAAGCUCGGCGUCCACGAGGACUCCACCAACAGGACCAAGCUUGCUGAGCUCCUGAGGUACCACUCCACCAAGAGCGGCGAUGAGCUUACCAGCCUCAAGGACUAUGUGACGAGGAUGAAGGAGGGCCAGAGUGACAUCUACUACAUCACCGGUGAGAGCAAGAAGGCCGUGGAGAACUCUCCCUUCCUUGAGAAGCUGAAGAAGAAGGGCUAUGAGGUGCUGUACAUGGUUGACGCCAUUGAUGAGUACUCCAUUGGCCAGCUCAAGGAGUUUGAGGGAAAGAAGCUGGUCUCCGCCACCAAGGAGGGCCUGAAGCUUGAUGACAGCGAGGAAGAGAAGAAGAGGAAGGAGGAGCUCAAGGAGAAGUUCGAGGGGCUCUGCAAGGUGAUCAAGGAGGUGCUGGGCGACAGGGUUGAGAAGGUGAUCGUCUCUGACCGCGUCGUCGACUCACCGUGCUGCCUCGUCACCGGCGAGUACGGCUGGACCGCCAACAUGGAGAGGAUCAUGAAGGCCCAGGCCCUGAGGGACACGAGCAUGGGCGGCUACAUGUCGAGCAAGAAGACGAUGGAGAUCAACCCAGAGAACGCCAUCAUGGAGGAGCUGCGCAAGCGCGCCGACGUGGACAAGAACGACAAGUCUGUCAAGGACCUGGUGAUGCUGCUGUUCGAGACCUCCCUGCUCACCUCGGGCUUCAGCCUUGACGACCCCAACACCUUCGGCACCAGGAUCCACCGCAUGCUCAAGCUGGGCCUGAGCAUCGACGAGGACGAGGAGGCUGCUGAGGCUGACACGGACAUGCCGCCGUUGGAGGAGGACGCCGGCGAGAGCAAGAUGGAGGAGGUCGACUAG
rnacentral:rRNA from 1 species